GAUGAACGCUGGCGGCGUGCCUAAUACAUGCAAGUCGAGCGAACGGACGAGAAGCUUGCUUCUCUGAUGUUAGCGGCGGACGGGUGAGUAACACGUGGAUAACCUACCUAUAAGACUGGGAUAACUUCGGGAAACCGGAGCUAAUACCGGAUAAUAUGUUGAACCGCAUGGUUCAAAAGUGAAAGACGGUCUUGCUGUCACUUAUAGAUGGAUCCGCGCUGCAUUAGCUAGUUGGUAAGGUAACGGCUUACCAAGGCAACGAUGCAUAGCCGACCUGAGAGGGUGAUCGGCCACACUGGAACUGAGACACGGUCCAGACUCCUACGGGAGGCAGCAGUAGGGAAUCUUCCGCAAUGGGCGAAAGCCUGACGGAGCAACGCCGCGUGAGUGAUGAAGGUCUUCGGAUCGUAAAACUCUGUUAUUAGGGAAGAACAUAUGUGUAAGUAACUGUGCACAUCUUGACAGUACCUAAUCAGAAAGCCACGGCUAACUACGUG
rnacentral:rRNA from 1 species